rnacentral:tRNA from 1 species
UCCGCAUUAGUGUAGGGGUUAACAUACUCCGCUUUCAUGAUUGAGCCGGAGAGCCCCGGGUUCGAUUCCCGGAUGCGGAA